rnacentral:rRNA from 1 species
GGAUUAGGCAUGCAAGUCGAACGGGAAACCCUUCGGGGUUUCUAGUGGCGAAAGGGUGAGUAACACGUGAGCAACCUGCCCCUGAAUCCGGAAUAAGCCAGGGAAACUUGGUCUAAAACCGGAUGUCGGCAUUCUUCCGCCUGGGAGUCUGCUGAAAUAUUCAUAGUUCGGGGAUGGGCUCACGUCCCAUUAGCUUGUUGGCGGGGUAACGGCCCACCAAGGCUACGACGGGUAGGUGGUCUGAGAGGUCGGUCACCCACACUGGGACUGAGACACUGCCCAGACUCCUACGGGAGGCUGCAGUCGAGAAUCUUCCGCAAUGGGCGAAAGCCUGACGGAGCAAUGCCGCGUGAGGGAAGAAUGCCUUCGGGUUGUAAACCUCUGUCACCCGGGACGAAAUUUGACGGUACCGGGAGAGGAAGUCACGGCUAACUACGUGCCAGCAGCCGCGGUAACACGUAGGUGGCAAGCGUUAUUCGGAUUUACUGGGCGUAAAGGGUCCGCAGGGGGCCUGACAAGUCUGUCGUGAAAGGCCAAGGCUCAACCUUGGCACUGCGGUGGAAACAGUCGGGCUAGAGUCAGUGAGGGGCAGACGGAACACCUGGUGUAGCGGUGGAAUGCGUAGAUAUCAGGUGGAACACCUAUGGCGAAGGCGGUCUGCUGGCACAUGACUGACCCUCAGGGACGAAAGCGUGGGUAGCAAACAGGAUUAGAUACCCUGGUAGUCCACGCCGUAAACUUUGUGAACUAGAUGUGCCCGGGCUGGCCCCGGGCGUGUCCAAGCUAACGCGAUAAGUUCACCGCCUGGGGACUACGGCCGCAAGGCUAAAACUCAAAGGAAUUGACGG